rnacentral:rRNA from 2 species
AGAGUUUGGACCUGGCUUAGUACGAACGCUGGCGGCGUGCCUAAUACAUGCAAGUCGAACGCACUCUGGUUUAGAUAGAAGAAGCUUGCUUCUGAUUGAAAAACAUUUGAGUGAGUGGCGGACGGGUGAGUAACACGUGGGUAACCUGCCCUAAAGUGGGGGAUAACAUUUGGAAACAGAUGCUAAUACCGCAUAAAACCUAGCACCGCAUGGUGCAGGGUUGAAAGAUGGUUUCGGCUAUCACUUUAGGAUGGACCCGCGGUGCAUUAGUUAGUUGGUGAGGUAAAGGCUCACCAAGACCGUGAUGCAUAGCCGACCUGAGAGGGUAAUCGGCCACACUGGGACUGAGACACGGCCCAGACUCCUACGGGAGGCAGCAGUAGGGAAUCUUCCACAAUGGACGCAAGUCUGAUGGAGCAACGCCGCGUGAGUGAAGAAGGUUUUCGGAUCGUAAAACUCUGUUGUUGGAGAAGAACGUAUUUGAUAGUAACUGAUCAGGUAGUGACGGU